AUGGUAAUUUGUUGCACGGAUUUAUUUUCAAGUUACCACAUUGGUUUCUUUUUACCUUGCUUUAUUGGAUUAAAGGCCCUUCAAGAGCAGGAGAAAUAUCUUUUUUUUUUCCCUUCUGAAUUUCCUCACAAGGUCCAGUUGGGUGUUCUGCUGCCUCUGCUCACAGCCAGCCGCCUUCCCAGGGCCACAGCGUCAGCAGUACUGUGGAGUAAGGCUUCAAAUCCAGGCCCUCGGACCCUGGACUCCUUGUUCUCGGAGACGUCAUCGUUAUCUCAUGACAGCUGCACCUGGGACCACCAGCCAGGAGGCCUCAGCGGGCAGAAGGAGACGGGCACCUUGGACAUGGCAGAGCGCAGAGGCCAGGAGGAGGUGACAGGCACACAGCAAGGAGAUGAGCGCCUGGAUGCAAAAUCAGGAGCAGGGAAGCCUCCGAGCUGGGAACAGUGCCCUCUGGCCCACAGCAGGACAGUCCUGUCACCAGAAAACCCGAUGCCUCCCAGGAGAAAGACAGGCUGACAGGAGCAGAGACAGGUGGCCGUGGCCUCCGGCCCCACGUCAGCAGAGCGGCCAACGACAGGAGGAGCCCUGGGGAGAGGCACAGGCCACCGUGGCCAAUGGAGACGACAGCCCUGGCCUGCAGGCCGUGCCGUGCGGGUAGGUUUCCAGAGGCCACACGCCGGUGGCCAAGAGAAGGGCUCACUGCUGACCAGCUGGGCAAUGCUGGCCCAAUUAUUUAACCUCUCUAUGUGCUUCCUCGUUUAUAAAAUGGGGACAACAAUAUUGCCAGUCUCCGUGGGUUAUUUUGAGAAUUAAGUUAGAGAAUGAAUGGAAAGCCCUGAAUUAGAAACGCGUGAGCUCUCAACUCUCCAGGAGUUCUGGAAUCUUCCCACCCCUCCUUGUCCCUGCCUCUCGCCGAGGCUGCUGGGGCUGCUGCCGAGCUAGCCCCGGGCCUGCUGCACGGCCCUCUCUUGGCCUUCUCCAGCUCGCAGUCCCUCAGAGGAGCCUCCAGGAACCCAGAGGGAAGGAGUCCGUCCUCAUGGAACGAGCAGCUCUUUCUUGCCAGCCCCGGCCUGGCUCUGCCUCCAGAGCCCCACAGUCAGGGCCUCGGGAGACACAUCUGGGGGUGACAGAGGCGUCUGCCUUCUCCACGGCUACUUUUUCCCGUUCUCCCUCCGGCUGCUGCUUCUGCCACCACAGCAUCCUCCUGAGGGAGGGGGCGAACCAGGACUUGAGCUGAAACAAAACCAAAACAGAUCAGCACUUUCUCCCAUGCCAAGAGCCAGGAGGCUUGUUAUUUCAGAGCGGCUAGUCCAGGGCACCUCUUGGUUCUCAGAAGCCCCCUAGCACUGACCUCAGUCCCCCAGAGUGACCACCACCUUAGCCUUGAGAGCCCUGGAUGUGUUCAAGGCCACUCGGCAGGAGUAAGCCUUGCCCUGUGGCCUGGGGCACUGCAGGCUCAAGGUUCCCGUGGACCCGCCAAGCCCACCUGGCACUUGUGACGGCCAUAUGUGACCGCAGUGCUGGAGACGACCUGCUCUGCCCUGGCUGGCCAGCCCUUCCAUAGUUCUUCUUUCCUGGUCCUCAGCCCUGCUUCCUGCCCUCCAGGAGUCCCGGGCCUGUCCUGCCUGCCUCUGUCAGCUCACCCCAGGCUGGGGCUGAGCUCUGCCUGAAGAGGCUAAGGCUGCCUUCAAAGGCUCCUGCUCCCUCAACGGAGAAAAGCCCCAGAGUCCCAGGGUGAAAGGGCCGUGCCCCUGCAAGGUGCCUAGCCCUCCUCCUCCUCCUGCCACCGUGCCUGGCAGUUCACCCCAGUACUGGGGGGGCAGGAGCACCAAAACCACCAGUGGAAAUGUGUGCCCGUGGAAUUGGAGGACAGAAGCU
ensembl:lincRNA